CCUGAGGCCUGGUAGAGGACAAGGACGACCGGUCUUCGCUGACACUCACGUUUCCGCACUGCUGGCUGUCCGCGGCCACGCCGCUGGCGGCCGUCUUGGUAGCAGCGACAUUGGCAGCCUUGGAGCAGGCGCUGAGAUAUUGUCAUGUUUCCCUCAAAGCAGUUAUACUAAUUCAUCCUACCACAAACAGAGAUUUGGUAAGGCAUAACUUGGAGAUAUUUCGGGCUCAGUUGCAGACCACCAUGAUAAAGCAAAUUCACAAUAAAAUUCUACAUUAAAUGUGGAGUCCAUGAGGUCAAGGAUUUGUGUCUGUUAUAUUCACUGCUGUAUUUCCAGGACCUAAAAUACUAUCAGGAACAAAGUAAAAGAUCUAUAUAUAUUUGAUGAACA